AACGAACGCUGGCGGCAGGCCUAACACAUGCAAGUCGAGCGAGGACUUCGGUCCUAGCGGCGGACGGGUGAGUAACGCGUGGGAACGUGCCCUUUGCUUCGGAAUAGCCCUGGGAAACUGGGAGUAAUACCGGAUGAGCCCUUUGGGGGAAAGAUUUAUCGGCGAAGGAUCGGCCCGCGUUGGAUUAGGUAGUUGGUGGGGUAAUGGCCUACCAAGCCGACGAUCCAUAGCUGGUUUGAGAGGAUGAUCAGCCACACUGGGACUGAGACACGGCCCAGACUCCUACGGGAGGCAGCAGUGGGGAAUCUUAGAAAAUGGGGGAAACCCUGAUGUAGCCAUGCCGGGUGAGCGAUGAAGGCCUUAGGGUUGUAAAGCUCUUUCAGCUGGGAAGAUAAUGACGGUACCAGCAGAAGAAGCCCCGGCUAACUCCGUG
rnacentral:rRNA from 1 species